rnacentral:rRNA from 1 species
GACAGAGGGUGCAAACGUUGUUCGGAAUUACUGGGCAUAAAGAGCACGUAGGUGGUGCGCUAAGUCACGUGUGAAAUCCCCCGGCUCAACCGGGGAAUUGCGCGUGAUACUGGCGGACUCGAGGCGGGUAGGGGUGAGCGGAACUCCAGGUGGAGCGGUGAAAUGCGUAGAUAUCUGGAGGAACACCGGUGGCGAAAGCGGCUCACUGGACCUGAUCUGACACUGAGGUGCGAAAGCGUGGGGAGCGAACAGG